GAUGAACGCUGGCGGCGUGCCUAAUACAUGCUAGUCGAGCGAACAGAUGAGGAGCUUGCUCCUCUGACGUUAGCGGCGGACGGGUGAGUAACACGUGGAUAACCUACCUAUAAGACUGGGAUAACUUCGGGAAACCGGAGCUAAUACCGGAUAAUAUAUUGAACCGCAUGGUUCAAUAGUGAAAGACGGUUUUGCUGUCACUUAUAGAUGGAUCCGCGCCGCAUUAGCUAGUUGGUAAGGUAACGGCUUACCAAGGCAACGAUGCGUAGCCGACCUGAGAGGGGGAUCGGCCACACUGGAACUGAGACACGGUCCAGACUCUUACGGGAGGAAGCAGUAGGGAAUCUUCCGCAAUGGGCGAAAGCCUGACGGAGCAACGCCGCGUGAGUGAUGAAGGUCUUCGGAUCGUAAAACUCUGUUAUUAGGGAAGAACAAAUGUGUAAGUAACUAUGCACGUCUUGACGGUACCUAAUCAGAAAGCCACGGCUAACUACGU
rnacentral:rRNA from 1 species